rnacentral:rRNA from 1 species
GGUUAAGCGACUAAGCGUACACGGUGGAUGCCCUGGCAGUCAGAGGCGAUGAAGGACGUGCUAAUCUGCGAUAAGCGCCGGUAAGGUGAUAUGAACCGUUAUAACCGGCGAUUUCCGAAUGGGGAAACCCAGUGUGACUCGUCACACUAUCAUUAACUGAAUCCAUAGGUUAAUGAGGCGAACCGGGGGAACUGAAACAUCUAAGUACCCCGAGGAAAAGAAAUCAACCGAGAUUCCCCCAGUAGCGGCGAGCGAACGGGGAGGAGCCCAGAGCCUGAAUCAGCAUAUGUGUUAGUGGAAGCGUCUGGAAAGGCGCGCGAUACAGGGUGACAGCCCCGUACACAAAAGCGCAUGUGCUGUGAGCUCGAUGAGUAGGGCGGGACACGUGGUAUCCUGUCUGAAUAUGGGGGGACCAUCCUCCAAGGCUAAAUACUCCUGACUGACCGAUAGUGAACCAGUACCGUGAGGGAAAGGCGAAAAGAACCCCGGCGAGGGGAGUGAAAAAGAACCUGAAACCGUGUACGUACAAGCAGUGGGAGCACAGGUUUACCUGUGUGACUGCGUACCUUUUGUAUAAUGGGUCAGCGACUUAUAUUCUGUAGCAAGGUUAACCGAAUAGGGGAGCCGGAGGGAAACCGAGUCUUAAUUGGGCGUUAAGUUGCAGGGUAUAGACCCGAAACCCGGUGAUCUAGCCAUGGGCAGGUUGAAGGUUGGGUAACACUAACUGGAGGACCGAACCGACUAAUGUUGAAAAAUUAGCGGAUGACCUGUGGCUGGGGGUGAAAGGCCAAUCAAACCGGGAGAUAGCUGGUUCUCCCCGAAAGCUAUUUAGGUAGCGCCUCGUGAAUUCAUCUCCGGGGGUAGAGCACUGUUUCGGCUAGGGGGCCAUCCCGGCUUACCAACCCGAUGCAAACUGCGAAUACCGGAGAAUGUUAUCACGGGAGACACACGGCGGGUGCUAACGUCCGUCGUGAAGAGGGAAACAACCCAGACCGCCAGCUAAGGUCCCAAAGUCAUGGUUAAGUGGGAAACGAUGUGGGAAGGCCCAGACAGCCAGGAUGUUGGCUUAGAAGCAGCCAUCAUUUAAAGAAAGCGUAAUAGCUCACUGGUCGAGUCGGCCUGCGCGGAAGAUGUAACGGGGCUAAACCAUGCACCGAAGCUGCGGCAGCGACACUGUGUGUUGUUGGGUAGGGGAGCGUUCUGUAAGCCUGUGAAGGUGUGUCGUGAGGCAUGCUGGAGGUAUCAGAAGUGCGAAUGCUGACAUAAGUAACGAUAAAGCGGGUGAAAAGCCCGCUCGCCGGAAGACCAAGGGUUCCUGUCCAACGUUAAUCGGGGCAGGGUGAGUCGACCCCUAAGGCGAGGCCGAAAGGCGUAGUCGAUGGGAAACGGGUUAAUAUUCCCGUACUUGGUGUUACUGCGAAGGGGGGACGGAGAAGGCUAUGUUGGCCGGGCGACGGUUGUCCCGGUUUAAGCGUGUAGGUGUGUGUUCCAGGUAAAUCCGGUUCACUUUAACACUGAGGCGUGAUGACGAGGCACUACGGUGCUGAAGCAACAAAUGCCCUGCUUCCAGGAAAAGCCUCUAAGCAUCAGGUAACAUCAAAUCGUACCCCAAACCGACACAGGUGGUCAGGUAGAGAAUACCAAGGCGCUUGAGAGAACUCGGGUGAAGGAACUAGGCAAAAUGGUGCCGUAACUUCGGGAGAAGGCACGCUGACACGUAGGUGAAGUGAUUUACUCACGGAGCUGAAGUCAGUCGAAGAUACCAGCUGGCUGCAACUGUUUAUUAAAAACACAGCACUGUGCAAACACGAAAGUGGACGUAUACGGUGUGACGCCUGCCCGGUGCCGGAAGGUUAAUUGAUGGGGUCAGCGCAAGCGAAGCUCCUGAUCGAAGCCCCGGUAAACGGCGGCCGUAACUAUAACGGUCCUAAGGUAGCGAAAUUCCUUGUCGGGUAAGUUCCGACCUGCACGAAUGGCGUAAUGAUGGCCAGGCUGUCUCCACCCGAGACUCAGUGAAAUUGAACUCGCUGUGAAGAUGCAGUGUACCCGCGGCAAGACGGAAAGACCCCGUGAACCUUUACUAUAGCUUGACACUGAACAUUGAGCCUUGAUGUGUAGGAUAGGUGGGAGGCUUUGAAGUGUGGACGCCAGUCUGCAUGGAGCCGACCUUGAAAUACCACCCUUUAAUGUUUGAUGUUCUAACGUGGACCCGUGAUCCGGGUUGCGGACAGUGUCUGGUGGGUAGUUUGACUGGGGCGGUCUCCUCCUAAAGAGUAACGGAGGAGCACGAAGGUUGGCUAAUCCUGGUCGGACAUCAGGAGGUUAGUGCAAUGGCAUAAGCCAGCUUGACUGCGAGCGUGACGGCGCGAGCAGGUGCGAAAGCAGGUCAUAGUGAUCCGGUGGUUCUGAAUGGAAGGGCCAUCGCUCAACGGAUAAAAGGUACUCCGGGGAUAACAGGCUGAUACCGCCCAAGAGUUCAUAUCGACGGCGGUGUUUGGCACCUCGAUGUCGGCUCAUCACAUCCUGGGGCUGAAGUAGGUCCCAAGGGUAUGGCUGUUCGCCAUUUAAAGUGGUACGCGAGCUGGGUUUAGAACGUCGUGAGACAGUUCGGUCCCUAUCUGCCGUGGGCGCUGGAGAACUGAGGGGGGCUGCUCCUAGUACGAGAGGACCGGAGUGGACGCAUCACUGGUGUUCGGGUUGUCAUGCCAAUGGCACUGCCCGGUAGCUAAAUGCGGAAGAGAUAAGUGCUGAAAGCAUCUAAGCACGAAACUUGCCCCGAGAUGAGUUCUCCCUGAGACUUAGAGUCUCCUGAAGGAACGUUGAAGACGACGACGUUGAUAGGCCGGGUGUGUAAGCGCAGCGAUGCGUUGAGCUAACCGGUACUAAUGAACCGUGAGGCUUAACCUU